UUUUUCCUGUACGUCCUAGGCAUCGCAACCUGUAAAAUACAAGGGUUCCAACCAGGAACUGAUCUCAAUCAAGAUUGUAUAAGAAAGUAUUAAUAACAUAAAACUAACUGCUAUUACAAGCAUUCAUUUCAUACACUUUAUACAUCACAUUUUUCUUUUACAUUUGCUUAACUUCCAAAUACAAUCACAUUGUUACAUUUAAUACA
rnacentral:lncRNA from 1 species